rnacentral:misc_RNA from 1 species
UUGAUCCAACUGCCCUCAUCUUACAGCUUUGUCAUCAGGAGUUCAAGUGCAGCUGUACGUUCCUUGGAAGGUUGCUCUGUGACAGGGGACAAAUUAGUGUGCGCUACUCGUCUCCGAUGGACAUGGACUGGACUGUCUCAAGCUUCGAAGCCCACGGACCCUAUGAGCACAGAACAGGAACCACAUGACCGAGGCUCGGGUUUUCUCUUUUAA